CCCCCCCCCCUCCCGGCCUCCGCACGCGAGCUGCGGGAAGACCGGGAUGCCCGCGAGCACCUCGAUGCGGAGCACACCGACAAGUACAUGGUGGAGCUCCGCCGCCUGUACCCGGAGCGCAUCAAGGAGGAGCUAGCAUCGGCGGUACGAGCUCUAUAAGUUGGCAAUGGUGACGGUCUUUUCUCCAGCGAUGGUGACGGCUCCAGAAACCCCCCUAAUUCUCUGAUCCAUCAUCCCCAACCCAAAGCUCCAAGUUGUGCGUCGUGCGACUCCUGACCGAAAUCCUUCCUUGCCAGAUCUCUCGCAUCGGCCCCCAAAUCGAAUCUCAAUCCGAAGGCCAAGUACCACGGCAACGCAUGGAUGAUUCCCUUGAACUUCUCUAGCGGCGGCAAUCAAGUAGCGACAACAAUGGCUCGACGGUCCUUAGACCCGGCCGGCCGGCCGGCCGUCUCGACGGCGAAGCCAUGACAACCGACGACCUUCUACGGCGGUGAUGAUGCGGAACGAUGAGGCGCCAACGCCGCCUUGGAUGGCCUCCUCCGCGGGCGAUGAUUCCUAUUACAUAGGAAGCUGCAGCCUCUCGUCCAUAGGAAGUUGUAGCUGUAACCUGUAGCCUGUACAAAAUGUACCGGUGCUAUGCUCAUAUGAGUAAACUGUAUCAGUAUUUGCACCUAAAUAAAUGACAUCGUGUGAGCUGCUUGUAUGUGUUUCUAAUCUUUUCUAGAUUCCUUACCAAUACGUGAUAUGCCUUACCAAGCUUGUUCA